rnacentral:rRNA from 1 species
GACGAACGCUGGCGGCGUGCUUAACACAUGCAAGUCGAACGAAGUGGCGAACGGGUGAGUAACGCGUAAUCAACCUGCCCUUCAGGGGGGGAUAACAGUUGGAAACGACUGCUAAUCCCGCAUACUGAAGGAGGGGAUUGCGUCGGAUUAGCUAGUUGGAGGGGUCACGGCCCACCAAGGCGAUGAUCAGUAGGCGGUCUGAGAGGAUGAACGGCCACAUUGGGACUGAGACACGGCCCAGACUCCUUCGGGAGGGAGCAGUGGGGGAUCUUCCGCAAUGGACGAAAGUCUGACGGAGCAACGCCGCGUGAGUGAUGACGGCCUUCGGGUUGUAAAGCUCUGUUAAUCGGGACGCGGUACCGGAAUAGAAAGCCACGGCUAACUACGUGCCAGCAGCCGCGGUAAUAC